rnacentral:rRNA from 1 species
AUGCGCGCGGGACGUGCGGGACGCACUGGUGGGGUCGGGCUCGUCGGGCGCGUCGGGUGCGCGCGGGACGUGCGGGACGCACUGGGGCGGUCGGGCGCAUCGGGUGCGCGCGGGACGUGCGGGGCUUCGAGGGACGUCAGGCGUGUGUCGCCGGCGGAGGAGGAGCUCGGCGUGUGUCGCUGGAGCGUGAUGGAGCAUGGUGCGACCGGCGUCGUUGUGCCAGGUCGGGUCCGCGGGCUGGGUCACACUCGUGAUGACGACAACAAUGGGAGCUGCAACAACUCCGACGAUGGCGAGAUCAUGGCUUAG